rnacentral:sRNA from 1 species
UACUGCGCUAUGACCCCGAAGUGGGGGGC